UAAAGAAUUUCGGUCAUCGAUGGGGAUGCGUUCCAUUAGCUUGUUGGCGGGGUAACGGCCCACCAAGGCAUCGAUGGAUAGGGGUUCUGAGAGGAAGGUCCCCCACAUUGGAACUGAGACACGGUCCAAACUCCUACGGGAGGCAGCAGUGAGGAAUAUUGGUCAAUGGGCGCUAGCCUGAACCAGCCAAGUAGCGUGAAGGAUGACUGCCCUAUGGGUUGUAAACUUCUUUUAUAUGGGAAUAAAGUGCAGUAUGUAUACUGCUUUGCAUGUACCUUAUGAAUAAGGAUCGGCUAACUCCGUGCCAGCAGCCGCGGUAAUACGGAGGAUCCGAGCGUUAUCCGGAUUUAUUGGGUUUAAAGGGAGCGUAGGCGGGUUGUUAAGUCAGUUGUGAAAGUUUGCGGCUCAACCGUAAAAUUGCAGUUGAUACUGGCAUCCUUGAGUACAGUAGAGGUAGGCGGAAUUCGUGGUGUAGCGGUGAAAUGCUUAGAUAUCACGAAGAACUCCGAUUGCGAAGGCAGCCUGCUGGACUGUAACUGACGCUGAUGCUCGAAAGUGUGGGUAUCAAACAGGAUUAGAUACCCUGGUAGUCCACACAGUAAACGAUGAAUACUCGCUGUUUGCGAUAUAAGUAA
rnacentral:rRNA from 1 species